rnacentral:lncRNA from 1 species
GGAAAAUGAUGCCUGAACUUGAGAACUGUUGGCUUUAAGUAACAUGGUCUGAGGAGCUAUCUUAGCGGUAGAGCCCUUGCCUAGCAUGUGUGAGGUACUGGAUUCUAUUCCCACCACUGAAGAAAAAAAAAAGAAAGAAAAGAAAAUCCAGUGUGACUGGCUUGGCAAACAUACAGGCUUGUUCCAGGGGAUCUGAUGCUUUCUUCUGACUUCCUUGGCAAAACACUCAUACACAUUAACAGCAAAUAAAAGGCGUGUGCAACCUCACCAUGCUGGUCUGUAACAGCUCAGGCUAUCCCUGGACUCCUGCCUCAGUCUGCUGAGUAUUGGGAUUGCAGGUAUGAACCGCCACACCCAGCUUGAACUUUUGACUUGUUCACCUCAUUAGUAUUUGAAGCCUGCCUGGAAGCAACCCAAUAGAAGUUCUUCCAACUAUGGGAUGAUUCACCUGGUUCACCAAUGCUUUCCACUGCCUCCAAAGUGACACUGAAACCCAGAAGAUACUGAACCCCUGGGAACUCACUUCGACUGAGCUACAUCCAACGUACCAUGGCUCCCAUGUACUGGGUCAGUGCUUGUGCACAAACCGGUUUAUUCUAGUUCUUCUUGUUCUGAGUGCAUAUUAAAUUAAAUGUUACAUAAAGU